UACGGAGGGUGCGAGCGUUAUCCGGAAUUACUGGGUUUAAAGGGUGCGUAGGCGGCCAGGUAAGUCAGGAGUGAAAGUUUGCGGCUCAACCGUAAAAUUGCUUUUGAUACUGCCAGGCUAGAAUUAGGAUGAGGUCAGCGGAAUGUGGCAUGUAGCGGUGAAAUGCAUAGAUAUGCCAUAGAGCACCAAUUGCGAAGGCAGCUGGCUAGACCUGGAUUGACGCUGAGGCACGAAAGCGUGGGGAGCGAACAGG
rnacentral:rRNA from 1 species